AUUGAACGCUGGCGGCAGGCCUAACACAUGCAAGUCGAGCGGAUGAAGGGAGCUUGCUCCUGGAUUCAGCGGCGGACGGGUGAGUAAUGCCUAGGAAUCUGCCUGGUAGUGGGGGAUAACGUCCGGAAACGGGCGCUAAUACCGCAUACGUCCUGAGGGAGAAAGUGGGGGAUCUUCGGACCUCACGCUAUCAGAUGAGCCUAGGUCGGAUUAGCUAGUUGGUGGGGUAAAGGCCUACCAAGGCGACGAUCCGUAACUGGUCUGAGAGGAUGAUCAGUCACACUGGAACUGAGACACGGUCCAGACUCCUACGGGAGGCAGCAGUGGGGAAUAUUGGACAAUGGGCGAAAGCCUGAUCCAGCCAUGCCGCGUGUGUGAAGAAGGUCUUCGGAUUGUAAAGCACUUUAAGUUGGGAGGAAGGGCAGUAAGUUAAUACCUUGCUGUUUUGACGUUACCAACAGACUAAGCACCGGCUAACUUCGUG
rnacentral:rRNA from 1 species